rnacentral:rRNA from 1 species
GCAGCAGCCGCGGUAAUACGAAGGGGGCUAGCGUUGCUCGGAAUCACUGGGCGUAAAGGGUGCGUAGGCGGGUCUUUAAGUCAGGGGUGAAAUCCUGGAGCUCAACUCCAGAACUGCCUUUGAUACUGAAGAUCUUGAGUUCGGGAGAGGUGAGUGGAACUGCGAGUGUAGAGGUGAAAUUCGUAGAUAUUCGGAGGAACACCAGUGGCGAAGGCGGCUCACUGGUCCAUUACUGACGCUGAGGUGCGAAAGCGUGGGGAGCAAACAGGAUUAGAUACCCCCGUAGUCCCUGUCUCUUAUAA